rnacentral:rRNA from 1 species
GCGGCACGAGUUGUAGAUUGCAGGUUGGAGUCUGUGUGGAAGGCGGUGUCCAAGUCCCUUGGAACAGGGCGCCCAGGAGGGUGAGAGCCCCGUGGGAUGCCGGCGGAAGCAGUGAGGCCCUUCUGACGAGUCGAGUUGUUUGGGAAUGCAGCUCCAAGCGGGUGGUAAAUUCCAUCUAAGGCUAAAUACUGGCGAGAGACCGAUAGCGAACAAGUACUGUGAAGGAAAGAUGAAAAGCACUUUGAAAAGAGAGUGAAACAGCACGUGAAAUUGUUGAAAGGGAAGGGUAUUGCGCCCGACAUGGGGAUUGCGCACCGCUGCCUCUCGUGGGCGGCGCUCUGGGCUUUCCCUGGGCCAGCAUCGGUUCUUGCUGCAGGAGAAGGGGUUCUGGAACGUGGCUCUUCGGAGUGUUAUAGCCAGGGCCAGAUGCUGCGUGCGGGGACCGAGGACUGCGGCCGUGUAGGUCACGGAUGCUGGC